rnacentral:rRNA from 1 species
UACGUAGGUGGCAAGCGUUGUCCGGAUUUAUUGGGUUUAAAGGGUGCGUAGGCGGCCCCAUAAGUCAGUGCUGAAAUAUCCCGGCUUAACCGGGAGGGUGGCAUUGAUACUGUGGGGCUUGAGUAAAGUUGAGGUUGGCGGAAUUGACGGUGUAGCGGUGAAAUGCUUAGAUAUCGUCAAGAACACCGAUAGCGAAGGCAGCUUACUAGGCUGUAACUGACGCUGAGGCACGAAAGUGUGGGGAUCAAACAGG